UUUCCGUAGGUGAACCAGCGGAGGGAUCAUUACAGAGUUGCAAAACUCCCAAACCAUUGUGAACGUUACCUAUCCCGUUGCUUCGGCGGGCGGCCCGGGCCCCGCGCCCGGCGCCCCCCGGCCCCCCGUGGGCGCCCGCCGGAGGUAAACCAAACCCUUGAAUUGCAUGGCCUCUCUGAGUCUUCUGUACUGAAUAAGUCAAAACUUUCAACAACGGAUCUCUUGGUUCUG
rnacentral:misc_RNA from 1 species